ACCUGCAUCGAAAGUGAUUGUGGCUCUAUUAGUCGCCUAGUCAUUGAUACUGCAGGAAGAGCAUGAUGUGAAAUAUUUCCCGUGUUUGGAGGUUGUGAUAGUACCUACCAAACCCUGUACAUUUUACACA